rnacentral:rRNA from 1 species
CGCCGAGCGGAACCCGAAAGCCCCUCUCAGUUCGGAUCGGAGUCUGCAACCCGACUCCGUGAAGCUGGAUUCGCUAGUAAUCGCGCAUCAGCCAUGGCGCGGUGAAUACGUUCCCGGGCCUUGUACACACCGCCCGUCACACCAUGAGAGUUGGGAAUACCCGAAGCCUGUGAGCUAACGUAAGAGGCAGCAGUCGAAGGUAGAAUCAAUGAUUGGGGUGAAGUCGUAACAAGGUAUC